UCAAAAUGUGUCACAAUCCAAUGC
rnacentral:siRNA from 1 species